CACUUUGUGGUUCAUGACUGGGGUGAAGUCGUAACAAGGUAGCGCUAGGGGAACCUGGCGCUGGAUCACCUCCUUAAACGAUGAU
rnacentral:rRNA from 1 species